rnacentral:rRNA from 1 species
ACCCGCUGAACUUAAGCAUAUCAAUAAGCGGAGGAAAAGAAACCAACAGGGAUUGCCCUAGUAACGGCGAGUGAAGCGGCAACAGCUCAAAUUUGAAAUCUGGCGUCUUUGGCGUCCGAGUUGUAAUUUGCAGAGGGCGCUUUGGCAUUGGCAGCGGUCCAAGUUCCUUGGAACAGGACGUCACAGAGGGUGAGAAUCCCGUACGUGGUCGCUAGCCUUUACCGUGUAAAGCCCCUUCGACGAGUCGAGUUGUUUGGGAAUGCAGCUCUAAAUGGGAGGUAAAUUUCUUCUAAAGCUAAAUACUGGCCAGAGACCGAUAGCGCACAAGUAGAGUGAUCGAAAGAUGAAAAGCACUUUGGAAAGAGAGUUAAAAAGCACGUGAAAUUGUUGAAAGGGAAGCGCUUGCAGCCAGACUUGCCUGUAGUUGCUCAUCCGGGUUUUUACCCGGUGCACUCUUCUAUAGGCAGGCCAGCAUCAGUUUGGGCGGCUGGAUAAAGGUCUCUGUCAUGUACCUCUCUUCGGGGAGAACUUAUAGGGGAGACGACAUGCAACCAGCCCGGACUGAGGUCCGCGCAUCUGCUAGGAUGCUGGCGUAAUGGCUGU